UGUGUGUGUGUGUGUGUGUGUGUCACUUAGGUGCAGUGUAAAUCCAGCAGGAGUUGAGCAGGUAUGUCAUGUGUGUGCUGCAUCUGGCCAUAAAAGGCGCAGCCUGGCGGAGGUGUGUGUGUGUGCGUGUGAUGAUGAAAGCCCACAGGGUCACAUGUUGGCGUGCGCUGAACCUUUGGCCUGGGGAGGGCAGAUGCAGUUGAGGGACGGGGGGGAUUUGAACCAGGAGCCGCAGAGGUCAGCAGAUCGUCAGGAUCACUCCUGGCAGAUUAGCCUAAUGGAUGAGACACGGGGGACGUGUAGCAGCUAGCUCCAAUCACUCCUCCUCCUCCUCCUCCUCCUCCUCCUCACCGAUCGAGAGGGACAUCUUUACAGCCACCUGUAGAGUUUAUAUGGGGAGCACUAAACCUCCACCUUAAAAUCACAUGGAAACUCAUUCAAUUCAGCUGUUACAAACUCCAGUUGGCAACUACGCUCAUAACCAAAGUCCAUUUGUCUCUAACUUAAAUGUGUGCAGUAGACAUGUUUGUCCGUAUGAAAGAAGCUAUGUGGAUGGGUGUGCCAGGGGACACCAGCUUAGCUCCAAAAACUUCCCAAUAACAAACUAAAUAAACCAAAAGGUGCACCAUUCCAAAAUAUAUCCAAACCUA